rnacentral:misc_RNA from 1 species
UGAAAAUUUUACACUCAAUGACAGGGUCUACGUAUACAUUGUAUAAAAACAAAACAUAGCAUUAUUUGACUUUGUAUAAGUGCAUUACCAAUCCCAAGUUAUGUUUAUUAAUAGCUAUUGAUAAACAGAAGAGGAUAGAUAAUAUAGCCAUGGCCAUACUUAAGUUGCCAUAAAAGAUUUUCCUAAUGGGAUUAUAUAAAUUAAUGUGAUCAUUACCUGCUAUCUAUAAAUAUAGAGUGAUCUCUAGAAUUGGAAAAUUGCAAAACAUAAUAUGUAUUCAUGUCUUUGUAAUUCACACCUACAUAGUUCCCUGUCUUUUACUUAGAGAAUGGAGGAUUUCAUUAUUUAUACAUUAACUUAGUUGGUGCACAAUUAGCUUUUAAAAGUUUAAAGGUUAUUUGUACUUGGUGUGCUAAGAUCUAGCAUUCAUAAUUACUCAGUGGGAUUAUUUCUUUUUAAUCUCAGCAUUAGAUCAAUAAAAGUAAGAUUAAGUAGGUAAUAUGCUUUACAAAUUUUUCUAAAUUAAUGUUUAAUGAAUGAGUGGGUGGGGCUGUUAAAAUAUCGUACCAGUAAUUAAGGAAACUUUCCCCUGAUUUCUUAGGUUAAUGAGAAAUACAUCCCUAGUUAUAAUGUGUUCAUUGUCUGUAAAUAUUAGCAUUUGUCAUUGUACAGCCAAUCACAAAUCCUUGUCAUACCACAGUAUUAUUCCAUCCACAAACCAAACAUUCCACUAGUGUAGGGCUGUAACAGGGGUGGCUAGCGAGCCAAUCAGGUGUAGGAGUACUAACUAUGAUCUACUUGUAGCAGCUCCAGUUGAUGAGAUCCCAGGGGGGCUAGGGGUCCAUUGUUUACUACUGUCCCUGUGGGGAUGGUGUGGACACACCAUUACUUAAAUCUCUUAUGACUAUUGUUACACAGUGUAUUGUAUAAAAUUGUUAUUAUUAUGUAAGUUAUAAAAAAAAUCAUUAAUAUAUGACAGAUGUGUGUAUUUUUAUUAUCAUAUUUAUUGAACAUGUAUUGUUCAUAAUGCAUGGCUUAAUUUUAUUUGGAAGUAUGACUGAAUGUUUGCCUGUGCAUGAAAGAAUUAUUUUAUCACAUUUUUGUUUUAUAUUUUUAUUUUGUCUCUAUGUAUAUUGUAAAAAAAAAAAGAAAGAUAGAAAUGUUAUCUUCUUGUCAAGACUGAUACUUGGUGAAUAGUGAAAGGAAACCUUAAAAACUUAACAAACUAAGGUGAACAGUGAUCAAAUACUAUUCUUAUUACAAGUAUGUUUUGAUACUGUAUGCAUCCAUUUAGCUGAUAGAAAGAAAUCACAAUAAAAUGAUGCUGGUUUUUGUACCAAAAUUGCUGUAUGAGGUAAUCCUAAAACCACUAGUACUGAGUGCAAGAUUUGAUUUUGUGAUGAUGCAAGGGGUCUCAGUGAUAAGUAUGUGUGAAUGAAGCUGUCUAAAUAAUCAGAAAAGUCCAAUGGACUUUAUUUCAUAGUGAGUUUGUUUUGAGGAAUUCUGUAUUUCUCAGAUUGUUGAAGUAUUUGAUUGCCUAUUUUUGUGUUUUUAUUGCUAAUUCCAUACAGAUGUGAUAUUUGAUUCAUUUUAUACCAGAUGACCGUUUAUAUGUAUAUAUAGAGUCUAAUCACCCAGUGUCCGUCCUAAACAAUGUGAUUGUAGAUCUUUUAUUUGACCUUUUUUAUUAUCAUUGAUUUUUAGCAUUUUUCUGUUUAGUUGUACUAUGACACAUCAGCUGCCUUUUUUACCAGUUGGUUCACGUUGAUUCGUGUCAGCCUAGAAGUCUAGAAUACCAGCUACAUAUAAAAAGAAAUUGAUAAUAAAGGUGGAUGAAAUCU